rnacentral:rRNA from 1 species
UACAGAGGGUGCAAGCGUUGUUCGGAAUUACUGGGCGUAAAGCGCGUGUAGGCUGCGAUGUAAGUCAGGUGUGAAAGCCCUCAGCUUAACUGAGGAAGUGCACUUGAUACUGUGUCGCUUGAGUGUCGGAGGGGGUGGCGGAAUUCCCGGUGUAGAGGUGAAAUUCGUAGAUAUCGGGAGGAACACCUGUGGCGAAGGCGGCCACCUGGACGGACAACUGACGCUGAGACGCGAAAGCGUGGGUAGCAAACAGG